GAGCAACGCCGCGUGAGCGAUGAAGGCCUUCGGGUCGUAAAGCUCUGUUGUCAGAGAAGAACAAGUACCGGAGUAACUGCCGGUACCUUGACGGUACCUGACCAGAAAGCCACGGCUAACUACGUGCCAGCAGCCGCGGUAAUACGUAGGUGGCAAGCGUUAUCCGGAAUUAUUGGGCGUAAAGCGCGCGCAGGCGGUUCCUUAAGUCUGAUGUGAAAGCCCACGGCUCAACCGUGGAGGGUCAUUGGAAACUGGGGAACUUGAGUGCAGGAGAGAAAAGUGGAAUUCCACGUGUAGCGGUGAAAUGCGUAGAGAUGUGGAGGAACACCAGUGGCGAAGGCGGCUUUUUGGCCUGUAACUGACGCUGAGGCGCGAAAGCGUGGGGAGCAAACAGGAUUAGAUACCCUGGUAGUCCCACGCCGUAAACGAUGAGUGCUAGGUGUUGGGGGGUUCCACCCUCAGUGCUGACGUUAACACAUUAAGCACUCCGCCUGGGGGAGUACGGCCGCAAGGCUGAAACUCAAAGGAAUUGACGGGGGCCCGCACAAGCAGUGGAGCAUGUGGUUUAAUUCGAAGCAACGCGAAGAACCUUACCAGGUCUUGACAUCCUCUGACCACUCUAGAGAUAGAGCUUUCCCCUUCGGGGGACAGA
rnacentral:rRNA from 1 species